rnacentral:rRNA from 1 species
GUCGAACGCUGAAGCCUGGUGCUUGCACCGGGUGGAUGAGUGGCGAACGGGUGAGUAACACGUGAGUAACCUGCCCCCGAUUUCGGGAUAAGCCCGGGAAACUGGGUCUAAUACCGGAUAUGACCUCCAGCCGCAUGGUUGGUGGUGGAAAGUUUUUCGAUCGGGGAUGGGCUCGCGGCCUAUCAGCUUGUUGGUGGGGUAAUGGCCUACCAAGGCGACGACGGGUAGCCGGCCUGAGAGGGCGACCGGCCACACUGGGACUGAGACACGGCCCAGACUCCUACGGGAGGCAGCAGUGGGGAAUAUUGCACAAUGGGGGAAACCCUGAUGCAGCGACGCAGCGUGCGGGAUGACGGCCUUCGGGUUGUAAACCGCUUUCAGCAGGGAAGAAGCGAAAGUGACGGUACCUGCAGAAGAAGUACCGGCUAACUACGUGCCAGCAGCCGCGGUAAUACGUAGGGUACGAGCGUUGUCCGGAAUUAUUGGGCGUAAAGAGCUCGUAGGUGGUUGGUCACGUCUGCUGUGGAAACGCAACGCUUAACGUUGCGCGGGCAGUGGGUACGGGCUGACUAGAGUGCAGUAGGGGAGUCUGGAAUUCCUGGUGUAGCGGUGAAAUGCGCAGAUAUCAGGAGGAACACCGGUGGCGAAGGCGGGACUCUGGGCUGUAACUGACACUGAGGAGCGAAAGCAUGGGGAGCGAACAGGAUUAGAUACCCUGGUAGUCCAUGCCGUAAACGUUGGGCACUAGGUGUGGGGGACAUUCCACGUUCUCCGCGCCGUAGCUAACGCAUUAAGUGCCCCGCCUGGGGAGUACGGUCGCAAGGCUAAAACUCAAAGGAAUUGACGGGGGCCCGCACAAGCGGCGGAGCAUGCGGAUUAAUUCGAUGCAACGCGAAGAACCUUACCAAGGCUUGACAUACACCGGACCGGGCUGGAAACAGUCUUUCCCUUUUUGGGCUGGUGUACAGGUGGUGCAUGGUUGUCGUCAGCUCGUGUCGUGAGAUGUUGGGUUAAGUCCCGCAACGAGCGCAACCCUCGUUCUAUGUUGCCAGCACGUGAUGGUGGGAACUCAUAGGAGACUGCCGGG